rnacentral:lncRNA from 11 species
UCUUUUCAACAGGAUCAUUGCAGAUGGUACUUUGAAGACAGUGCAGCAGAAGAAAUGUCUUAACUUAAAACAGAUUUAAAACCAAAGAUUGGACUUGCUCACGCACAUACAUGGAAUACAGCUCUCAGAAUCCCUGAACCAGCAUGACUACUUGUAAUGAGGAGUUAAGACAUCAAAGAGUACACACAACAUUUUUGGCUUUGGAGACUCUGGAGUGCUUUACAGUCCUCCAAAUACUGUUGUCCUUAUGUCUGGCACAGCUUGUCUAUCCACAUCCUUGCAUGGGAGGCAGAUGGAGUCGGCAGCAGGACUGCAAAAGUUUAGAAGGUCUUGGCUGAUGCAAGAUGCAUCUGACGGAGCUGAAGGGAAUCAUCUGAUGGAACUGAAAGAACAGGAUGCAGCUGCUUCACAAACCACUGUUUGAUCUGAAUAGAACACAAGAUCUAAAACCAAUAUUAGAAGAGGGCCUGCCCAGUGAUCGUGACAUUUAAGGAGAUCAUGGGCCAUAUGUACAAAACUAAUUAAAUGAUCCUAAAGUAUCUGAAAAAAAGCAUUUUCAGCUGUUGGUUACCCACUCCUAUGUCCAAUAUAGAAUACUCUUGGGUUCCCAAUGCACAUUUUCAGAGCUUUCUUUACUAGCAAAUGAUAUUGCAAGCAGGUUUCCUCCUGUUCUGUUUUCUAUGUAUAUGUAUACAAAUGAAGCAGUGUGUCAUUGCAGUUACAAGAGAAUGAAGAGCUUCUCAAAGUGCAUGCUUACUUAUGCUCAUAGUUGACUCGUUUUUUCCAAGUACACUUUCUGUAAAUCUGGGUGACAAUAAAUUCUACCAAACCAUUUUGUAACACUGA